UGAGGAACAUGACCUUCGGCGGGGGAUAGCCGGCCCAACGGCCGGGUAAUACCGCGUACGACCACAUGGGGACAUCCCUGAGUGGUGAAAGCAGCAAUGCGCCGAUGGAGUGCCUCGCGGCCUAUCAGCUAGUUGGUGAGGUAACGGCUCACCAAGGCGACGACGGGUAGCUGGCCUGAGAGAUGGCCAGCCACAUUGGGACUGAGACACGGCCCAGACUNUACGGGAGG
rnacentral:rRNA from 1 species